UGGGGAAUAUUGCACAAUGGGGGAAACCCUGAUGCAGCGACGCCGCGUGAGCGAAGAAGUAUUUCGGUAUGUAAAGCUCUAUCAGCAGGGAAGAUAAUGACGGUACCUGACUAAGAAGCUCCGGCUAAAUACGUGCCAGCAGCCGCGGUAAUACGUAUGGAGCAAGCGUUAUCCGGAUUUACUGGGUGUAAAGGGAGCGCAGGCGGCGGAGUAAGUCUGAUGUGAAAGAUCGGGGCCCAACCCCGGGACUGCAUUGGAAACUGCUUUGCUAGAGUAUCGGAGGGGUAAGCGGAAUUCCUGGUGUAGCGGUGAAAUGCGUAGAUAUCAGGAGGAACACCGGUGGCGAAGGCGGCUUACUGGACGAUAACUGACGCUGAGGCUCGAAAGCGUGGGGAGCAAACAGG
rnacentral:rRNA from 1 species